GCUGACACAUCCCUGCCAAUCUCCAGCAGACCCUCCCUCCCAGACCCUCCCACCUCCUGGACAGCAUCCAUGUUGAAGGCAGCUUCAACAUGGAUGCUGUCCAGGAAGUAGGAGGGUCUGGGAGGGAGGGUCUGCUGGAGAUUGGCUGGGAUGUGUCAG